ACUUCCUGUUUCCUUUUCCAUCAGAUCUUGAUAUUGGUUUUGGUGAUUGUAUAGGGAAAAAAGUACACUGACGAUGGCCUCAUAGCUAUGUAGUCUGGAUUAAAGGUUAGGGAUAUAGUCAAACAGUC
rnacentral:snoRNA from 1 species